rnacentral:rRNA from 1 species
AGUGAACUCUGGCGGCAGGCCUCACACAUGCAAGUCGAACGAUGUCUUCGGACUUAGUGGCGGACGGGUGAGUAACACGUGGGAACGUGCCUUUAGGUUCGGAAUAACUCAGGGAAACUUGUGCUAAUACCGAAGGUGCCCUUCGGGGGAAAGAUUUAUCGCCUUUAGAGCGGCCCGCGUCUGAUUAGCUAGUUGGAAAGGUAAAGGUUCACCAAGGCGCCGAUCAGUAGCUGGUCUGAGAGGAUGAUCAGUCACAUUGGGACUGAGACACGGCCCAAACUCUUACGGGAGGCAGCAGUGGGGAGUCUUGCGCGAUGGGCGAAAGCCUGACGCGGCCAUGCCGCGUGAAUGAUAAAAGUCUUUGGAUUGUAAAAGUCUUUCACCGGGGACGAUAAUGACGGUACCCGGAGAAGAAGCCCCGGCUACCUUCGUGCCAGCCGCCGCAGUAAUAC